AUUGAACGCUGGCGGCAGGCCUAACACAUGCAAGUCGAGCGAGCGGCGGACGGGUGAGUAAUGCCUAGGAAUCUGCCUGGUAGUGGGGGAUAACGUCCGGAAACGGGCGCUAAUACCGCAUACCAUCAGAUGUGCCUAGGUGGGAUUAGCUAGUUGGUGGGGUAACGGCUGACCUAGGCGACGAUCCCUAGCUGGUCUGAGAGGAUGAUCAGACACACUGGAACUGAGACACGGUCCAGACUCCUACGGGAGGCAGCAGUGGGGAAUAUGGGACAAGGGGCGAAAGCCUGAUGCAGCCAUGCCGCGUGUGUGAAGAAGGCCUUCGGGUUGUAAAGCACUUUCAGCGGGGAGGCGUUACCCGCAGAAGAAGCACCGGCUAACUUCGUGCCAGCAGCCGCGGUAAUAC
rnacentral:rRNA from 1 species